GGCUGUGACUUUGUAUCAAGUACAAGCAAACAAAACAGUUGUCCAGGAUAUGGAACUCCAAGCGUUCAUAAUGCAGAUACAUAUAUCGAAGUUCCAGCUGGUGAAAGUGUCACUAUUGACUGUACAUACACCGCAUAUGGUCUGGCAACCAAAGUUGAAUGGACAUUCGUAGACAACUCUGGUGGUUCAUAUACCAUAACCGAUGGCACAAACGUAUCUAAAUACAGUGGGUCUACAGUACAUAUUCCUUCAUUGACGGUCAAUAAUUUUGCAAUCUCAGACGAGGGUAUAUACGCAUGUUCAGCAGAAAACAGCUAUGGUAGACGUACCGGAGGAGAUAUUCAACUUGUGAUAAUUCAAGCCUCAACAGUUAGUCUUACAGAGACAGCAAGUGUAAACCUGAAAAUCACAACUGUACCAUUAUCAACACACGAUAGAACUUCAAUGCAAAUAAUUUCUACGAAUGAUAAAACGACAACAAAAGAUGCAUCAACAUCUAAAAGGACAACAACCGAUAUUAUGUCAACAACAAGA